rnacentral:rRNA from 1 species
UACGUAGGUGGCAAGCGUUGUCCGGAAUUACUGGGCGUAAAGGGCGCGUAGGCGGUACCCUAAGUUAGAUGUGAAAACCCGAAGCUUAACUUCGGACCUGCAUUUAAAACUGGGGAACUCGAGUGUCGGAGAGGAAAGCGGAAUUCCAAGUGUAGCGGUGAAAUGCGUAGAUAUUUGGAGGAACACCAGUGGCGAAGGCGGCUUUCUGGACGAUAACUGACGCUGAGGCGCGAAAGCGUGGGGAGCAAACAGG